GGGGCCACAGUCCAUAGAAGGUGCUAGACCUGUACGGGUGACAACGCAGUUGGAAUUGGUCGCUCCUUGGAGUCGGGUUGCCUGAGAUCGCAGCCCAAAGUGGGUGGUAAACCUCAUCUAAGGCUAAAUAUGGCCACGAGACCGAUAGCAAACAAGUACCGUGAGGGAAAGUUGCAAAGAACUCUGAAAAGAGAGUGCGAGAGGACGUGAAACCGCUGGGAAGGAAGCGAAUAGAGUCGACGAAACCCUGCCGUCAUUCAACCGAUCAGCUCCGCGGUCCACUGUUUCGCGUUGCGUGUUACGCGCACGCCCAACAGUGGUACAGUGCUGGGUAGAGCUAGGCCUGUGUGAUCGGUGCAUUUGACGGCGGUAUGCGUCGAGAGCCGCGUCCAAGCGUACGUCUUGGCCAACUGUGUAGAGGACCGUUGUGCUUUCCAGGCGAGCGGAACCCUGCAUUGUGUUGGCCCUGAGGGCGUAUCGUGCUUGAUGCGGUGAACAGCAGUGUACGGCAACCCUAGCCGCGUGCGGCGCAUCGUCACUGUACCGUGUGGCAUUAUCCCGUGGUGCACAGCCUUUGCCGGUUGUGCAUUUGCAUGGGCUCACCGAUGUUGCUCGGUAUGGUUUUGGCGAAUGCCUGCAAUGGGUUGUGUCUCGGCGUGAGUGUCGAUCACCUAUUCGACCCGUCUUGAAACACGGACCAAGGAGUCUAGCGUAUGCGCAAGUCGUUGGGUGGUAAGCCCGUUUUUUGUUGAAAAAAGGCGCAAUGAAAGUGAACGGUGGUUGGCGGCAGUAUGCACAUAUGGUGCGCCAAAAACCGCGAGAUGUGAGCCGGCUGCAUGGUUGAAUGAUGCGCUGGCGCAACAUCACCCCGUCUCGAAUUGAGCCCAGCGAUGUGCAGGGGUGCAAGCCUUUUGUGCACUUGUACCAUUGUUGGGUAACAAUGGGGCGGAGGUUGAGCGCAUAUGCUGGGACCCGAAAGAUGGUGAACUAUGCCUGAGCAGGAUGAAGCCAGAGGAAACUCUGGUGGAGGUCCGAAGCGAUUCUGACGUGCAAAUCGAUCGUCUGACUUGGGUAUAGGGGCGAAAGA
rnacentral:rRNA from 1 species